ACCUUAUCGCGAUGACGUCACAAAAGGGGCAGUCCCUUAGCGACGGUGAAAACAAUGCCCUAGAUACGGUCGAUUUACUACGCUGAUUGAGCACCUCUGCUGAUAUUUCGUCAAUUGCAUUCCUAUUGGGAAGUCGAUAGUUCUGGCUACCAUAACCACUGUCUAUCAUCAACACCGGAAAAAGAUAACCAGAGAAGGGAGAAUAAACAAAACAACCGAGGUAGUGCUAGUGAAAAGAAAGAACACUGUCUUUCAUCACCACCGGAAAUAGAUGACCAGCGAAGCGAAAACAAAACAACCAUGGAGAGCAAAAUGGAUGAGUCGCUGGAUGUUUCUGGCUUUGAAGAGAGCUAUCAAGAGAUCAAUUGGAAAAUCAAAUGCUCCAAGAAAACAACGUUUUUUUACGCAGGGGUUACGUUAAAGUCGACUUGCGUGUAAUUCAUUUGGGGAGCACGUGCAUUAGCCAGCAACAAAGACGCAUUGGUAAUAUUGCAACGCCAAGCAGUCUGUUAUCAUAUAAAGAUUUAAGAAUAAAUAAAGAUGUCGUUAUUAUCCCAAGAAUGAUGAACUUAAACGUUAUUUUGUUUUAGUUAAAUUUAUAUAUUUCUUAAAUUAAAUUGCAAUGACAAACUUUCUGCUAUCAAUCGAUAAUUUAAGAAUGAA